GCCCCCGUAGCCAAGCGGAAAGGCGCCGGAUUACGAAUCCGGCCAAUCGGCGGUUCGAGUCCGCCCGGGGGUUCCA
rnacentral:tRNA from 1 species